AGAAAAAUUUACAAAAUGAUGAAAUUGUUUCCAAGAACAGUGCGUUUUUUUUGCGAUAGUAUCCACAUGUGGAAUUCGUCCAUCACUUUGAGAGCAAAAAGCAAACAAACGUGCAUUUGCAAACGUGGUUUUUCUUUUGGUUUCGUUGGAAAAUGAAAUUUUGAUUUUCCUAAACAAAAGUGUCAUUUAUUUCUUAAAAAGGCCUUCAAUCAAUCAAUUUAUGCGGUUGAAUUGAACGACGCAGUGCCUGUUCCCAUGUAGCACCGUGUUUCAAGUGUAAAAGAAUUUCAAACGUACCACGAAAACUGAGUAUUCGUUUAACCAUUGGUUUCAGACGAACAUACUGAUGGAUCGGCAAACGUAAACAUUCUAAUCCUUGUUCAUUAGCUCUAUCCAAUGUUAAUGUU